CCAGAAGCAGGCGCACACCUGUGGAUCUCUAACAGGUGAUUUACAGGGAGCACUCAGGAUCUCUCUGUGGCCAUCGUGAUCCAGUCAGGGAGCAGGCAUUUUAAGCCACCUGUCGUCCAGACCCUGUCGUGCUAAAGUCCACAGCAGAGGAGGCACUGGAGGUCGAUAACCCUGAGGUAAAAAGAUGCUAUCUAGUAGAGCUAUGCUGGUUUAUUAGAUUGUGUGUUUACAGGUGGCCUUUGAUCACAUGACUUAUCAUCGUACAUGGCAGUGGCCCUAAACGAGUCAGAGCUGGGUUGACUAAUUACUGCAUUGUGAGGUAAAUAUCAUCUGUAAGGUAUUUAGCAGGUAUGGUUUGUUAAAAAAUAAAUAAAUACUAAAGUAAUUACAUUCUUGUAACUUUAGGGUUGUAUAGCUGCUGCUGUUUUACCUGCCUGAUCAACUGCUGCUAUUUGUGCUUGUACUUCUGUAUCCUAUUUUAUGAGACCGUUACAGGUGGAUGGGCCCUGUGAAUGUUUUUGCCUGCUGAUGAUAAGGUCUGCUACGGGGGUGGCCAUUGUCCCUUUUUGUUUUUGUUUUGUUUGGCUAUAUGAUUUCCCUCAGUUCAUCAGCCAGACAGACAGGGUGGUGGCUUUUGGGAGCCCCUUUCCCCUUCACUGCAUGUGUUGGUGUGUGUAUGACAGUUGUAUGUAGUGUGUCAAAGCACCCGGGCGGCCCACAGGUAACUUCCUGCAUGUCCGGCUUCUGUAGAUGCUCAGGUUGCUUUUAUCCUUGAGUGUUUCUGGCAGCGUUGGCAUCUACAUCUUGGUGGUGGUUUGAGCUUGUGUAAUGAAUGAAAUUGCCCAAAAACCUGUUGGUUUUUUUUUAUUUUAUUUAUUUUUUCAUAUAUUAAAAUAAGUCCUCCUUCCAGUCGAAACUCAUGUCUCUGAAUCUUAAUUGUCGGGAACCUACGGCAACUGUUAGUUAGCUAUUUGGGGGUUUGAACCCGUCACUCUUUGCCUCGGUUACACUUCGACAGACCCAAAACCACAGCUUAAAGCUGAUGGCAGGCGUCCAAAUGAAUUUUCUCUUCACCUGAACAUGCCUCAACAAACAUGUUCAGCGUCUCCUUUCCUACCUUUCCUUUUUCUUUCCUCUCGUGUUUCAUUCCCUUCCACUUUUCCCGCCCGCUUAAUUUUUAUUUCUCAUCGUUUCCUUCCCAACAGCCUAUUACCCCCCCCCCCCCCUUUUCCUCCCUAAACCCUCCUUCCUUUUGCAUCCUGUCCUGCCUCCUAGCUUCCUUCCCUUGUUUCCACCCUCCUCUAAAUCCUCCCUUCCUUUGACUCAAUCGUCUGAACACUGUAGGAAAUGAAGUCGCAGCUUUUGGGAAAUGUUUUCAUUGAUUGCACUAUUUCACCAGCAGAUGUCGCUCACGUCACAUUCACGGUGUUCACCGGCCCUUUAAGUGGUGAACACGUUCAAUUUCAUCUACUGCAAAGUCUCAAACACACCAACCAUCCUGAUCACUCUGACCUUCAUGUGGUAGCGAUGCAAAUUUCUUCUAUGCCAUUAAUUCCAGGUUUGGUUUCAGGGGUGGGGAGUUAUCGUGCUUUCCAUAAUGGUAGUAUCCAAAGAAUGAUGUGUAAUGAGUAAAAAUGCACUAACUGUACUUUAUAAUUUAUGGUAUAUUAUCUCAGUUCACUCUGAUGAAUAAAAUGGGCGUUACCACAAAGCAGAAUCACUUCCUGGUUACUUAUUAAAGGCAAAUCUGGGCAGAAAGCUCAGGUGGAAAGUGAAGGAAGCAACUUCUGACUUUAGUUUCUGACCUCUUUGCUCUCAUUAAAAUUAACUGGGCUUAAAGGAAAACUUUUAAAAUUAGUAUUUUAUAAACCGUUUGACAGAAAGCCACUACUUUAUUUCAGUUCCUUGUAACUAUUUUCUGUGCAGUGUUUGUUCUUUACUCGUGAGGUCAGAGGAGGUGGGUGAAAGGAUGCAGGAUGGGAAACUCGGCUGGCCGGGACGUUGUUCCUGUAACAUCACAGUGUGCUGAAACUCAGAGGGAAGCAGGACGCUCACCACUGACCGCUGAUCAUGGAAGUCUCAUCAUCACACCUCGGUUUACGGGUAUUGAUGCGAAAGGGGAUGCCAAUCUAACCAUCAAUGUCACCAACACAUAUGUCCAACCUCCUGACAGGACAGACCAGACGAAUGCCGUUUCUCCCAAAACUGAAGGAAACAUCCAACGGUGCCAAGCUGAGCUAAAAUCUUAUCUUCAAAACAUAACAAAAAAUCUGUCUCAAGUCACAAAGGACGAUGGGUCAUCGACUCCUUUAAACAAGAUCUACACCGAGCUUUACAUCACAGAAGGAGGCAGUGGGGAGGUAAACAGUGAACACGAAGUGAUCGAGUUAGAAUGUAAAAGGUGUACGAGUGAGGAGAGGAAAAUCCACCUCAAUGACAUUUUUAAACCGUUAUCAAACGAAGAGAGUCCUCCACAGAGAGUUCUGACGAAGGGAAUCGCCGGCAUUGGAAAAACUGUGGCUGUGCAGAAAUUCAUUUAUGACUGGGCCGCAGGAGAAGCCAACCAAACUACUCUGUUCAUAUUUCCUUUCACAUUCAGAGACUUAAAUUUAAUAAAAGAUAACUCUCACAGUCUUGUAACGUUAAUAAAUUACUAUUUUGAAGAAGUGAAGGAUUUGGAAACAUCAGACUACAACAAUUCAAGUGUUUUGUUCAUCUUUGACGGGCUGGACGAAAGCAAAUUCCCUCUGGACUUUGAGAAAAACGAGAUGUGCCGCAGUCUCACAAAGGCCACAAGAGUAGACGUCCUCCUGACCAACUUAAUCACAGGGAAACUGCUGCACAAAGCCUCGGUCUGGAUCACAAGCAGACCCGCCGCCGCCACCAGGAUUCCCUCCGAGUACAUCAACAGGGUGACGGAGGUACGAGGCUUUAACGACGAGCAGAAGGACGAGUACUUCCGGAAGAAAGUCAGCGACAAGGACGUGGCUCAGAAGAUAUUAGAUCAUCUUCAUUCAAAGCCGUUGAGAAGUCUGUACAUCAUGUGCCACAUCCCUGUGUUCUGCUGGAUUUCAGCCACGGCUCUCCAGAGUCUCCUGACAGAAAACCGGCGAGGUGAGCUGCCCAAGACUGUGAGUGAAAUGUACACACACUUCCUGAUCAUCCAGACGAAGCUCAAAGAUUAUCAGGAUGGUAAAACGGACAAAGGUGUCAUCAUGAAGCUGGGAAAGCUGGCAUUUGAACAGCUACGGGAGGGCAACAUAAUCUUCUGUGAGAAUGACUUGAAGAGUUGUGAAAUUAGUCUGGAACAAGCUGCAGUUUAUUCUGGAGUUUGUACAGAGAUCAUAAGAAAAGAAUAUGGUCUUCACAAACAGGAGGUUUACUCGUUCAUACAUUUAAGUGUCCAGGAGUUCCUCGCCGCUCUGUAUGUUUUGGAGACCUUCAUAGAUCGCGGAGAAAAUCUGCUUCCCAGCCAGACAAGUGUGAAAGUGGCAUCGGAGAGAGGAGAACUUCCUCUCAUCCUCCUCCACAAGAACGCCACGGAUAUGGCUUUGGUCAGCAGUUAUGGACAGUGGGACUUGUUCCUGCGCUUCCUGCUCGGCCUGUCAAAGGACACAAACCAGGAGCUUCUUCAGAAAGCAUUUAGAUUUAAAGGAAGACGUCCGCUGAGCAGCCACGAGACAAUCGCCUACAUUCACGAGAAGAUCAAGAAACUGUCUUACACCGACACGAGCAUCAAUCUGUUCCACUGUUUAAAUGAGUUGGGUGACCGGUCCCUGGUGGAUCAAGUCCAGAAGUACCAGAGCUCUAGAGAUGUUAGUAAAAUCUCUCCUGCACAUUGGUCAGCUCUGGCAUUUGUGCUGCUUGUUUCCAAUGAAGCGCUGGACGUCUUUGACCUGAAGAAAUACUCUGGAUCAGAUGAGGUUCUGGAGAGGCUGCUGCCCGUGCUCAAAGCAUCUAAGACGGCUUUGCUGAGCGACUGCAGCCUCACUGACAGAUGUUGCAGGUAUAUUUCAUCAGUUCUCAGCUUGGAGUUGUCGGGUCUGGAGGACUUAGACCUGAGCCGAAAUAAACUGCAGGACUCUGGAAUAGCUCUGCUCUCUGAGGGUCUAAAAAGUCCCGCCUGCAAACUCCAGAGACUCCGUCUGAAAGAAUGUGGCAUUACAAAAAAGGGAUGCCAAUCUUUGGCCAGUGGUCUGGCUUCAAACCCGUCCCACCUGAGGGAGCUGGAUCUCAGCGAGAACAGAUUUCAUGAUGAAGGACUGGAGCUACUCUCAGAAGUUCUCAACAAAUGCUCUUUGGAAACCCUCAGGUUGUGUAAGUGCGGCAUCACAGGGAAACCUCUGGCUUCAGCUCUCAGCUUGAACCCAUCCCACCUGAAAAACCUGGACCUGUGCAGGAACAGUCUUGGAGCUCAGACAGUCUCUCAGCUCUGUGGCUUUCUGAAGCAUCCUGACUGCCAGCUGGAGAGAUUAUGCUCUGGCCUCAGCUCUGGCUUCCAAACCCGCCCAGCUGAGGGAGUUGGAUCUGGGAGGGAACAUCCUGGAGGACGCUGGAGUGAUGGAGAUAGCUGCUCUGCUGAAGGAUCCAAACUGCAGAGUGGAAACACUGAGACUGGCGGGCUGUCGGUUCACAGAGAGCAGCUGUGCUGCGCUGGCUUCCAGUCUGAAGUCAAACCCCGCCCACCUGAGAGUUCUGGAUCUGGCGAGAAAUAAACUUCAAGACGCUGGUGUCGAACACCUUUCUGAGUUCUUGGCAGAGCCACUUUGUCGACUGGAGACACUAAACCUGAAAUGCUGCACGUUAACAGAAGCCUGCUGCCGGUCUUUUACCUUCGCCCUCAGCUGCUCCUUUGCUCUCAAAGAGCUCGACCUGAGCUACAACUCGCUGAAGGACCAGGGUGUGAAGCUGCUCUCUGAUUGGCUGC